AGAACACACUGAAAGCAAUAAACAGGGGAGAAGAAGAAAAGAAUCCCUAACCCCUUACAUUACUUUAAAUCACCGCAUCUCCUCCGUCCGAGCUCCGAUCGCCGUACCGUUUGCGGCCACGCGACCACUGCGCUGAGCUCUACGAUUUUACCAGAAUAAUUUCAUAGGAUCCAAUUAGUUUGAGAAAAAUGUUCACUCUUGCUUAUAUGAAGCUUGGGUAAGAUGCAAGUCAAGAGGCACCUCGUUAGGCGUCUGGACUUCUGAAGCGAAGUGGUUGUCGGGUUACUUUUGUUGUAUAGUUAUGUAUAUAUAUGUACUUAGUUUUCUCUCUACAUGACUUAUUCCUUUUGACCCUCUUAGAGGCUUAUGGAGAGACAGGAUUUUGUUUAUGUAAAUUUGGGUUUUGGAUAUGUAUAUAUGUGUAAAUAUUUUCCGGCCAGCCUUGACUUCACGGGCUGAGUUAGGAGCUGGUUAUUUUGUAUCUUUGGCACUCUAUCCUUACUUUUGUUAUCUUAUACUUG